rnacentral:lncRNA from 1 species
GUUUGGUACCGAGCGGAGAGGAGAUGCACACGGCACUCGAGUGUGAGGUGGAGAGCGAUGUGGGGCGCGGCAGGGGGAUCGCGUAGAGGAACCUUCGCGCACCGCCUCUCCGGGUCUGGGAAUCUGCUGAACUCCUUGCCUCUCCUGGGGUCCCUCGAACGCCCCAGCUAAGAAGGGCGGGGGCCUUGCCAGGGCGCGAGCAACAUGACGUUCAAGGUCUUCCUGUGGCUUCUGUAAAGAAAUGUUCACGUGGGAGCCUGUCCACAUGGGCUGUACUAAGGAUCUGGCACGAGGAAGAAAUAUCACUGCAGAACCUGAAGCCCUCCGUUGGAAGGGUCGUUCACUCGAGUACCUAUUCUAAGUAACAGUGACACAAAACACAUGUUAGAAAAAAACAAAAAGUAUGGUAGGUUAUACUGUUUUUUAAAAGAAACUUUUAUUUAUGCCUUUUGCUGUUAAGUCCUCUAAUUUUACAUUGGAACUGAGUCAUUCUUGGAGCAAAACUAGAAUAGGUUUGUAUUUGUUUUCUUUUUGGAUGUGUAUCUAAAUUGUACAUAAUUAAGAAAAAGCA